rnacentral:rRNA from 1 species
GAUGAACGCUAGCGGCAGGCCUAACACAUGCAAGUCGAGGGGUAGAACACUUCUGUGUUUGAGACCGGCGCACGGGUGCGUAACGCGUAUGCAAUCUACCUUGUACAGGGGAAUAGCCCAGAGAAAUUUGGAUUAAUGCCCCAUAGUAUAUAACCUUCGCAUGUUGGUUAUAUUAAAGUUCCAACGGUACAAGAUGAGCAUGCGUCCCAUUAGCUAGUUGGUAAGGUAACGGCUUACCAAGACGAUGAUGGGUAGGGGUCCUGAGAGGGAGAUCCCCCACACUGGUACUGAGACACGGACCAGACUCCUACGGGAGGCAGCAGGGAGGAAUAUUGGUCAAUGGGCGCAAGCCUGAACCAGCCAUGCCGCGUGCAGGAAGACGGUCCUAUGGAUUGUAAACUGCUUUUAUACAGGAAGAAACAACUCUACGUGUAGAGUCUUGACGGUACUGUAGGAAUAAGGAUCGGCUAACUCCGUGCCAGCAGCCGCCGCCGUAA